UACGUAGGGUGCAGGCGUUAAUCGGAAUUACUGGGCGUAAAGCGUGCGCAGGCGGUCUUUUAAGUCAGAUGUGAAAUCCCCAGGCUCAACUUGGGAACUGCGUCUGAUACUGGUUGGCUUGAAUUCGGGAGAGGGAUGCAGAAUUCCAGGUGUAGCGGUGAAAUGCGUAGAUAUCUGGAGGAAUACCGGUGGCGAAGGCGGCAUCCUGGACCGAGAUUGACACUGAGGAGCGAAAGCCAGGGGAGCAAACGGG
rnacentral:rRNA from 1 species